rnacentral:lncRNA from 1 species
GGGAGAGGGAGGGGUGGGGGGGGGACGGGGGAGAGGGGGGAAGGAGGAAGGGAGGGGGAGAUCUGAAAGAACACGCAACCUUUGGAAAUUGUUUCCAUAUGUGUAGGGCACAUUAUAUAUGUCUUCAAAUUUCUCCUGGGUUAAACAAAUGAAAAAGAUAAGAGUUUUGUUAUGGUUGUUAUAUUUUUUUCCUCCCGCCUCCACUUCCAAAGUUAGGGUUAUAGGUGUCACCACCUUGUCUAGUACAGCUGGGACUGACUGAUGACUGUUCUGGCCACAAGUAGAGAAAAGAACCUUUUUUUUUUUUACCAACUAUCUGUCAGUGAGCAGGUGAAUGUUCUAGGUACAAGCCUUUGCCACAGAUGCAGAUUACUGCGUUCCGGUCUCACGUGGUUGUAAAGUCUAUGUGUCCCAACGUAAAUACACAAACGUCUGGAAUACGCUGACUGAGGGUUGCCAGGAAAAGGAUACCUACAUAGCCACAACCUGGGGAUUUUUCUCUCACGACCACUCAGAUGCCCACUCUUAGGUUUAAAUCUCAAUGUAAAAAUGAGCUGAAGGCUUACAGUUUCCCUCUGGAAAAAAAAACGGUAGAAAGGAUGUGCCUUCAGGCUUAAUCUCCUUAAAGAUAUUAGUCUCCUAUUUGAUCCCUCCCCCCUAAGGGAAAACACAGUUACCUCAAAAUUUCAUUAUAAAAGAAAUAAAGCUCUAAUUUUUUGUGUUGUUGCUGUUGCUAAGGUGGGGCUCUAGCCCAGGCUCUCUCACAUACUAAGCAAGCACUCUACCACUGAUCUGUUUCCCAGUCCUAACAAUUUCAACACUAUCAUAAAAAUAAUAAAUCAGAAAGAUAAACAUGAAAAAAAUAUCAGCAGCUGGCCCUGAGGUAACCGCCCAGUACUGUUCACUUCUUGUAUUCUCUCUGGCCUUUGACUAUUCAAAGACAAUGCAAAGUAAAUUUGAAUACACGUGCUUUUCUAUUUUCUAAAAUGUUUCGCUUUCCAAGGCACUGUGGUACCUUUGGUGGGGAGGGGGGGGACUAUAUUUCCUAGAGGCAAGACAUGGAGAAAUUGCUGGGGUUAUACGUCUGGCGCCUUCCAUGGCAGUAACAAUCUCUCAGAAUAUGGUUUCUGAGGUUUAGUGCUGGAGUUGGGGAGGAGGAAAGCUCCGGGAAACUUCAAACUUCGUGCUGAGUUCUGAAGGAAGCUUGACCUCACCCAUUGCUCAGGGUUUAGGGUCUGCCCCCAGCUGCGGAAACGUAAUCUCUAAGACUCAAGCACACUCCACCCACGCACUCCCCAGGGCCACCCACGCACCCCCCGGGGCGGGGGGAGUGGUACCUGCUACAUUUUCCAAGUUCUGCGUCAGUAAACGCUGCUCUCUAAGACUUGGUCUUGUUAAUUUCGCAAAGGGUCAGCAACGAAAAUGAAUUACUGCGGUGUUUUUACUUUUCUUCUCCCGAAAUGAAUGAAUUUAGGGAGCAGCUGUGGCUUCCUGUAAGAGGCUUGGAAAGUUGGAAGAUGGGGUUGGGGAUUUGGCUCAGUGGCAGAGCGCUUGCCUAGGAAGCGCAAGGCCCUGGGUUCGGUCCCCAGCUCCAAAAAAAAGAAAAAAGUUGGAAGAUGAACACUCCGGUCUUUAGGGGGCGGGGGCAGAUGUUGGGGUGCUAGGUGGACACAGCCUAGCCAUGCAGGAAGCCACCUUCAACACCGGGUGGGGCAAGAGGACCCAAAGUUCAAGAUUAUCCUGGGCCACAAACAGUUUGAGGGGAGUUUAUGAUACAUGAGAAAAGAAGAAAAAAAAAGCUAUGUUGCUUAGAGGCUACAGGGGCAAGGCGACAUUACUGGGGCGAGACAUCUGGUGCAACUCGUGGCAGUAGUCAAUUUUGGAUGGACUGCUUUUCUGGCCAACCAUCUGCAGUUCUUCAUAAGCCAUCAGACCUUCUGGGUUCCAAAAAGCCAAAGGAAAUUUAGAUUAUCGUGCCUUAUGACAUGGUGUUAGCCCUUUCCUGGAAUAGCUAACUUUGCAGUUAAUCAUUAGGUUACAAGAGGCAUUGUUAGGGUUGCAGGGAGACAGACAUUUUUCUUGUCUGGUAUGGUCAGUGGCUAGUUACCCAGGCUCCUAUGAGUAACCCUAAUUAAACUAAUACACACGUACACAUGCACACAUGCACACACACACACACACACACAGAGAGAGAGAGAGAGAGAGAGAGAGAGAACUUUUAGAGAAAGAUACUCCUACAGUGUAACAAUGUAGCCUUUCACCAGCUUGAACCUGCAGGGUGGCUUCAGUCGGAGCUGUUAACAGCAAAGCUAGUUCGGACCCAUGGAAUCCACAGGCUUGUUGUGUGACCUCCAUGGUUAUUGAAUUUUAUUGAGCUGAAAGGAAGAGGAGGAAGUUCAUUUAACUUUCCCGUCUGUAAGCUGCUGCUGCAGUGAGGAAUCCAUAGCAAAUAUCACCAUAAAAUGACUUUCAUCUCCCCGUAGCAUCUCUAUUUCCUGGUUCCUCUUCCAAACCAAUCCAUUGCAGCCUACAUUCUCUAAGGAGUCUGCAUCGAUUCCUCACUGUGAGCAAGGAGUAACUCUACUGAUUUAACUACCAGUGGAGGUUUUUGUAGUUCUUGGGCUUUUGUAUGAUAGUUACUUAGUUGUGCUUGCUUUGGGUUUACUUAGUCUCCCUACGCCACAGACUGGCUUCAAAGUGGCAAGCCUCCUGCCUCAGCGGGAUCAUAUGGAUACUACCUACUACUCCAGACUCAAGUAGAUUUCUUGUCCUCGUUGUUGUUGUUGUUGUUGUGAAACAGAGUCUCCUUUAACCAAAGCUGUCCUGGAACUCACUACAUAGCUGAUGGCUCUGGACUUCCGAUUGCCCCUGUCUCUAUCUCUUGAGUGUUGGAAUUACUGGCAUGUGUCACCAUGUUUGGUUUUCCAAGGCUGGCAUGAACCAGUGCACGAUAGGCAAGCAUUCUACUAACGGAGCUACAAUCCCAAACUGUCCGCAGGGUGGCGGGGAUGCCGCUGAGUGGUCACCAUGCAUCAGAGACGGGGUAGGGAACCAUCAAGCCCGCCUGGCCUGAUCCCUUAGCAUGGCUUCCUCCUAGUGCAGAGCCUACAGUGGCUGUGUGUGAUUGGCUGACAGAGGAGAUAGGAAACUGCCUUUAUGGCCAACCCUAAGACAGAAAGAUGGGAAAGGUUAGUUUCUUUGACUUUGAGGAAGGAAAAUCACAGUCUCUAUGGCUUGUUGGGAGGAAUACUAAUCUAGGGAACAUAGGCAAACAACGAAAAAUACCUUCAAUAAUAUCAGAGACUCCACCAUCAGUUUGCCUAUGGUAGUCACUAUGGUGUAUGCCAAAUGCGGGUCUUAGAGUCCUGUUAGUCCUUCUACACUCAUCGGAGCAAAGAAAGUGCCAUCCUGUCUCUCCCAUUUGAAAUCCUGUUAUUUAUCUAUACUGGUUUCACAUAGAUAAGAUACAGAUAAUAUAGGGAGAGCUACAGAUCGUUUCUUCUACAACUUGCAAUCCAAUAAUAAAAUUAUUUUUUUGCUCAAAUUGUCUUAAAUUUGCCCAUCAAACUCCCUCGGAAGUGUCCCCCAGUCCCCACUCAGCAGUGUCUCUACUCUUGAAGCCAUAUGUCCGAGGUUCAUCUUAGAUGAACCCUCCCCGUCCUGAAGUCGGCAGGCUCUUUUUAUUGAACAAUGGCAUUUAGUAAUCAAGAUUUGGGUACAAGGUGUACCCUCUUUUUAGACGUAAUCAGACUUUAUCUUCAUAUACUUCUACCAUAUCUACCUGUGUAGCUAUGUGUGCUCAUAAACUUGCUUGCCUCAUGGCUUCCCGAGUCCUGGCACCUACCCAGAUGUUUCUAGUUUUUUAGAUAAAGUCUCACUGAAUGGCUCAGGCUGACCUAGAACUGGGCUUUAGUGAUCCCAAGUGCCAGGGAUGUGCUGCCUGGUUCCAAGUUAACCCUGUCACAACCAUAUUACUCAGCAAAAUGCUUCCGAAUACGAAAGCUAUUCUCAGCAGAGGCUCUCGCCCCUCGCAGGUCUGCACAGCUGCUCUCUCCUGAGCGCUCUGACCAAGGUUUAGUGCUAACGAUCAACCUUGGAGCCUUCCUGGUUCUGGCAAUGGCUCACUACCAACAACCGAGUUCUAGGUUUUGCCCAGCAGGAGUCACUUCUUUCUUUCCCAUGGAAAGUCUGAGCAUCUUUUUAUAUAUUUAGGGUUUGUUUUUUUCAUUUCUAUUGUAAACUAUUUGACCCUCUGUUUUCACCAUUUUCCUAACUUUGUGGCUUGCUUUGUUUUGUUUUUGUUUUUGUUUUCUUUUUUUGGUUUGUUUGUUUGUUUGUUUGUUUUUUUCUUUUCUUUUUUUUCGGAGCUGGGGACCGAACCCAGGGCCUUGUUCUUGCUAGGCAAGCGCUCUACCACUGAGCUAAAUCCCCAACCCUGGUUUGUUUGUUCUUUAAAAUGUAUUUAUUUAUGUAAAUGAGUGCUCUAUUUGCAUGUACUCCUGCAGGCCUGAAGAGGGCAUCAGAUCUCUCUACAGAUGGUUGUGAGCCACCAUGUGGUUGCUGGGAAUUGAACUCAGGACCUCUGGAAGAGCAGCCAGUGCUCUUAACUGCUGAGCCAUCUCUCCAGCCCGUAUUUUUUUUUGUUUGUUUGUUGUGAAUAUGAUGAUGAU